CCUACGGGAGGCAGCAGUGGGGAAUUUUGGACAAUGGGCGAAAGCCUGAUCCAGCAAUGCCGCGUGAGUGAAGAAGGCCUUCGGGUUGUAAAGCUCUUUUGUCAGGGAAGAAACGGUGAGAGCUAAUAUCUCUUGCUAAUGACGGUACCUGAAGAAUAAGCACCGGCUAACUACGUGCCAGCAGCCGCGGUAAUACGUAGGGUGCAAGCGUUAAUCGGAAUUACUGGGCGUAAAGCGUGCGCAGGCGGUUUUGUAAGUCUGAUGUGAAAUCCCCGGGCUCAACCUGGGAAUUGCAUUGGAGACUGCAAGGCUAGAAUCUGGCAGAGGGGGGUAGAAUUCCACGUGUAGCAGUGAAAUGCGUAGAUAUGUGGAGGAACACCGAUGGCGAAGGCAGCCCCCUGGGUCAAGAUUGACGCUCAUGCACGAAAGCGUGGGGAGCAAACAGGAUUAGAUACCCUGGUAGUCCACGCCCUAAACGAUGUCUACUAGUUGUCGGGUCUUAAUUGACUUGGUAACGCAGCUAACGCGUGAAGUAGACCGCCUGGGGAGUACGGGUCGCAAGAUUAAAACCGUCAAAGAGUAGUAGACGUGAGAGAGUUCGACGAGGCAC
rnacentral:rRNA from 1 species